UCAACACCACCUUCGAUGCCCGCCAGAAGACUACAAGUGAAAAACUUAAAACUCAAAGGACUUGACGGUAUCCCACAUCAAUCUAGAGGAGCCUGUCCUACAAUCGAUACCCCACGCUCCACCCAACCCCCUCUUGUAAGUCCAACCUAUAUACCGCCGUCGUAAGCCCACCUCGUAAGAGCCACCACCGUGGGCCCCAAAGUCUCCCCCACCCCUACGUCAGGUCAAGGUGUAGUUCAUGGGGGGGGCAGAGAUGGGCUACAUUCUCUAAUCUAGACCACACCCAACGCACACAUGAAAUAUCUGCCAUAGAGGCGGAUUUAGCAGUAAGCACAGCAAGAAUGCUCGCCUGAACUCCCCGCCCUGGGAUGCGCACACACCGCCCGUCACCC
rnacentral:rRNA from 1 species